rnacentral:rRNA from 1 species
CUCUUCUUGAUUUUAUUUUUGAAGUAUGACCUGCCCACUGAUUAUUUGAAGGGCCGCGGUAUUUUGACCGUGCAAAGGUAGCAUAAUCAUUAGUUCUUUAAUUGUGGACUGGUAUGAAUGGUUUGACGAGGUACUAACUGUCUUUAUUAGGAUUUGUAGUUGAAUUUGGGUUUUGGGUAAAAAUACCUAAAUGUUUUUAUGGGACGAGAAGACCCUAUAGAGUUUUAUAUAAUUUUGGUUUGAUGUUGUUUGUUUAUUGAUUUGUUUACCUUAUUGUAUUUUGUUGGGGUGAUGGGAGGAUACUUUCAACUCUUCCUUAUUUUUUAUACUUGUUUGUAUAUCUUUGAUCCUGUAUUAUUGAUUUUAAGAUUAAAUUACCUUAGGGAUAACAGCGUAAUCUUUUCUGAGAGUUCUUAUUGACGAAAGGGGUUGCGACCUCGAUGUUGGAUUAAGAUGAAUUUUUGGUGUAGAAGCUUUAAUAAUUGUAUUAGGUCUGUUCGACCUUUAAAAUCUUACA